rnacentral:rRNA from 1 species
UACGUAGGUGGCAAGCGUUGUCCGGAGUUACUGGGUGUAAAGGGCGUGUAGGCGGGUGAUCAAGUCAGAUGUGAAAUUCCAUGGCUCAACUGUGGCGCUGCAUCUGAAACUGGUCAUCUUGAGUGAUGGAGAGGAAAGCGGAAUUCCUAGUGUAGCGGUGAAAUGCGUAGAUAUUAGGAGGAACACCAGUGGCGAAGGCGGCUUUCUGGACAUUAACUGACGCUGAGGCGCGAAAGCGUGGGGAGCAAACAGG